rnacentral:rRNA from 1 species
CGUACCCGAAGGACCGCGGGCCCGAGAGAGGGAUCCCGAGUAAUGCCGGACACGUGAAACCCGGUAUGAAUCUGGGGGGACCACCCUCCAAGGCUAAGCACUCUCCUAUGACCGAUAGCGAACCAGUACCGUGAGGGAAAGGUGAAAAGCACCCCGAGAGGGGAGUGAAACAGUACCUGAAACCGUGUGCCUACAAGCAGUCGGAGCAGCCAUGCGCUGUGACGGCGUGCCUUUUGUAGAAUGAGCCAGCGAGUUGCGGUUGGCGGCGAGGUUAAGGCGUGAACCGAGCCGCAGUGAAAGCGAGCCUUUAAGAUGGCGAUCAGUCGCCAGCCGCAGACGCGAAGCCGGGUGAUCUAUCCAUGGGCAGGCUGAGGCAGAGGUAAGACUCUGUGGAGGGCCGAACCCACUUCGGUUGAAAACGGAGGGGAUGACCUGUGGAUAGGGGUGAAAGGCCAAUCAAACCCGGAGAUAUCUCGUUCUCCCCGAAAUAGCUUUAGGGCUAGCCUCGAUCGCUUACCGACGGUGGUAGAGCACUGGAUCCGUGCGGGGGCCUCACCGCCUACCAACCGAAACCAAACUCCGAAUGCCGUCGGUCCCGAGAUCGGGAGUCAGAACAUGUGGGCUAAGCCGUGUGUUCGAGAGGGAAACAGCCCAGACCGCCUGCUAAGGUCCCCAAAUCAACGCUGAGUGGCAAAGGAUGUGCGUUUGCCUAGACAACCAGGAUGUUGGCUUAGAAGCAGCCAUGCAUUUAAAGAGUGCGUAACAGCUCACUGGUCAAGUGGACAUGCGCCGACAAUACACGGGGCUAAGCGUUGUACCGAAGCAGCGGACUGUUUUAUCAGUGGUAGGGGAGCUUUCCAUGCCGGGGCGAAGCCGACGGGCGACCGUCGGUGGACUGCAUGGAAGUGAGAAUGCUGGCAUGAGUAACGAGAGAGGGGCGAGAAACCCCUCCGCCGUAAGCCUAAGGGUUCCUGGGCAAGGCUAAUCCCCCCAGGGUCAGUCGGGAGCUAAGGCGAGGCCGACAGGCGUAGCCGAUGCACAACAGGCGGACAUUCCUGUACCACCGCGGAGCGUUACUACGACGGGGUGACGGAGAAGGGUAGCCGGGCGGGGUUCUGGACGUCCCCGUGAAAGCGCGUAGGCCGCAGGGCAGGCAAAUCCGCCCUGCAGCGAGGCCGAGACGUUAGACGAAGCUUCAUGUGAAGCCGGCGAGCCCAUGCUUCCGAGAAAAACCUCUAAGGAGCGAGGCGGUGCCCGUACCAAAACCGACACAGGUAGGCGGGUAGAGCAUACCAAGGCGAUCGGGAGAACCAUGGUUAAGGAACUCGGCAUACUGACUCCGUAACUUCGGGAGAAGGAGUGCCCCCGCCUGUGAGGUCCCACGCGGACGGAGCGGGAGGGGGUCGCAGCGAAACGGCCCAAGCGACUGUUUACCAAAAACACAGGACUCUGCAAAGCCGCAAGGCGACGUAUAGGGUCUGACGCCUGCCCGGUGCUGGAAGGUUACGCGGAUGAGUUAGCGCAAGCGAAGCCCUGAAGCCAAGCCCCAGUAAACGGCGGCCGUAACUAUAACGGUCCUAAGGUAGCGAAAUUCCUUGUCGGGUAAGUUCCGACCUGCACGAAUGGCGUAACGACUUGGGCGCUGUCUCAACCAUGGACCCGGUGAAAUUGUAUUAUUCGUGAAGAUGCGAAUUACCUGCGGAAGGACGGAAAGACCCCGUGAACCUUCACUGCAGCUUGG